UUCCUGCGAUAUAUUAUAUAUAAAUACACACGCACAUAUAUACAAACACAAGCACAUAUGAGUAUAUAUAUGAAUUCUACGUAAUUCUAUCAAUCAAUCUACACCCUUAUGGUACAGAAUGUUUCACAGUUCCUGUGCUUUCUUCCUCAUAUGUUAAUCCUAGGAUAAACCAUAUCUAACUUAACUACUAUUGGUCCCCCUAAAAGGAAUUCUCCUUAUUUACUUAGGUGCUGUUAAAACCUCACCCCAGGCUGCUGGUCACCGGGCAGCUUGAGAUCUAAGAGAGGAGCAGAAGCUGGAGUUGGGGGCUGUCCCAGCACAGGGCGCUGAUGUCACAGGUUGGCAUCUCCUUUGUGACAGAUGCACCGGGGGCAGAAUGAUGAAGGAUGUCUGCACUUCUCUCUUUGGCUGGUUUUCUUAGCAAGUCCACAAAAGUAUAGCAAGCAUCUCUCCGUGUCAGGCACAGUUCUUGGUGCUGAGGAUGGGACAGUGAACAAGAGAAAGCCUUGGAUGUUAAGGAGCCUACGUUAUAGCGGGGGGUGAUGGCGCUGUGCUCUGAGCUCGGUGUGGGUGAUGAUGACCAGUCUUCCUCCUCAGGCUUCUAGAGUGUGGGUGCCAGUCCUGCCAUGGCCUGCUUCGCCUCCAGUUUGUGCACCUCCUGAUCGGGAGAAGUCAUGGUGUCUUCCUGGCUUCUGCUUUGCCUCUAGUCGCACUGCUCUUCCUCCCACAGAAGUGGGCUCUGGGCUGGCCUUGGCUUCCUUCAGGCCAGUCCUGCGUGCUCUCCACCCAGCCGUGGAUGAGGAUGGCAUCCUGCCCACGCCCAGGAAGCCGUUCGCCUGCUGUAAACAAGCACGGGAAGAAUCCACGCUCUUACCGUGAGGACUCUUGAUUCAGAGAAUGUGCUCUUUCUCCCAUCUCUCCUCUCAGUCACUCCACCAGCACCCUAUGUAGCUCCAGAGUUUCUUCUGGGAGCAUAAACUCAUGUGAAUAGAUGCCAGUAAAAGAUGGAAUUAGGUAUGUAGAGCUCUUGCAAAAUAAAUUACGUAAAGUUUCCUAAAGAUAAAAGAAAUUCCUGUGGGUUUGCUCGUUAUUCUGGAUCACUAUAUUGCAGCCUUCUUCCCUGAGUUGAAAGUUGAGGGUUGACUGGGUAAAAUUCAUCUUGAGCUCCAACAUGAUGACACUGUUCAAAGCUGGGAGUUUCGAGACACAUCUAAGAGAAGUAACAGACAACCCAAAUGAUUUGGGAUGUCAGAGCUGGGAAGAAAGUGCUGAGGGAGCUAGUGGAGGGAGCACAUGUGUGUAUCUAUGGCUGAAUGUCUAAUGCUCUGUGUUUGCUGUUUGCCGUCUUCUUAAUAACUUAGUAACUCUCAAGAUUUGUUAAUAGAUCUUCCACUCUUU
rnacentral:lncRNA from 1 species